rnacentral:rRNA from 1 species
AUGAACGCUGGCGGCGUGCCUAAUACAUGCAAGUCGAGCGAACGGACGAGAGGCUUGCUUCUCUGAUGUUAGCGGCGGACGGGUGAGUAACACGUGGAUAACCUACCUAUAAGACUGGGAUAACUUCGGGAAACCGGAGCUAAUACCGGAUAAUAUUUUGAACCGCAUGGUUCAAAAGUGAAAGACGGUCUUGCUGUCACUUAUAGAUGGAUCCGCGCUGCAUUAGCUAGUUGGUAAGGUAACGGCUUACCAAGGCAACGAUGCAUAGCCGACCUGAGAGGGUGAUCGGCCACACUGGAACUGAGACACGGUACAGACUCCUACGGGAGGCAGCAGUAGGGAAUCUUCCGCAAUGGGCGAAAGCCUGACGGAGCAACGCCGCGUGAGUGAUGAAGGUCUUCGGAUCGUAAAACUCUGUUAUUAGGGAAGAACAUAUGUGUAAGUAACUGUGCACAUCUUGACGGUACCUAAUCAGAAAGCCACGGCUAACUACGUG